ACGGACCGGCGGGCGGGGCGGGUAAGAUGGCGGCCCCGCGGCGAGGGAGAGGAUCCUCCACAGUGGUAUCCUGCUGCGUGCCCCUCCAGGACAGCACCCAGAGGCCCGAAUUGCUGCUGCACAGAGAGCACUCAGCCUCACCCCACGUUUUCCCUAAGUUCUGUCUAGUAAUUCCACUUUGGAGAGGGGGGUGUUCCUUGACAGAUUUAGAGAGUUGAUGUAACUUCCUCGGAUCAGUUCUGCUGGCUCCAUCCCCUACCUGCUCAGCCCUGCACAAAGUGGCUAAGCACGCCACACUGCUGGCUCCCAAGGCGAUGGCCACCUGCCUCUGUCUCGGCCACUAGUGGCAGGAAGAUGGAAAUCCCUCACUUUGUCCCUAGAUUCAUUUUAUUUUAUUUUUGUUUGUUUAUGUUUUUUUAAGGACAGAGCCUUCCUCUCACCCAAGCUGGAGUGUGGCAAUCACAGCUCACUGCAGCCUCGGCCUCCUGAAGCUCUGGCAUCAGGCGGGAGCCACCGUGCCUGGCCCCAUAGACUCAUGUUAGCAUAAACAAAUAGGAAAUGUACACAGCUCAGGAAAUGGCUACUAGAUACUUAAGUCCCCCAAACAGAAAUAUAUUUCCUCUGAAGAAACUGAAAAAAGUGGCCGGGCGCAGUGGCUCAUGCCUGUAAUCCCAACACUCUGGGAGGCUGAGGUGGACAGAUCACUUGACACCAGGAGUUUCAGACCAGCCUGGCCAACAUGGUGAAACCCUGUCCCUACUAAAAAUACAAAAAAUUAGCUGGGCAUGCUGUUGCACGCCUGUAAUCCCAGCUACUCAGGCUGAGGCAGAAGAAUCACUUGAACCCAGGAGGCGGAGGUUGCAGUGAGCCAAGAUUGUGCCACUGCACAGUGUCCAGUCUGGGCAACAGAGCAAGACUCUAUCUCAAAAAAAAAAAGAAAAUGACAAAGUUGUUUUUUCUCUCUAACUCAUAACUGGGGCCAAAGGCAGGGUGACAUCACUGGGGAUGCCAGUGUGUGGAGGCUGUCCCCUGACCAGUCCUGUCCACAGUCAGGAGGGCAGGGGCUGCAGUGCACAGACCGCAUUGUUGUGGCAUGGAGGGGGGUCCCACAAAGGCCUUGUCAGCUCAUGGGACCACAUUGGCAGCCAGCAUAGUGACAGAAGCCUCAGGCAGUGAGCCAUUGCCAAGACUCCAUGGUCCCUUGGUGUCUGUGGCCACCAAACAGAUGACAGAACCAGCCCCUCUUGUUCAGCCACCUGGGAGGCUGCUCCCAAGCCUGUUGAGCUUGAGGAUCCUUAACCACUCACCAGCUCUCUUCAGUUCCCCUUCAAAUGCUGUUUUAUCUCAGCGGAACGUACUACGCCCUGUAUUUCCUCGCCACGCUCCUGAUGAUCACGUAUAAAAGUCAGGUGUUCAGCUAUCCUCACCGCUACCUGGUCCUCGAUCUUGCUCUGCUGUUUCUGAUGGGGAUGCUAGAAGCAGUUCGGUUAUACCUGGGCACCAGGGGCAACCUGACAGAGGCUGAGAGGCCGCUGGCCGCCAGCCUGGCCCUCACGGCUGGCACCGCCCUCCUCUCUGCCCACUUCCUGCUUUGGCAGACCCUAGUGUUGUGGGCGGACUGGGCCCUCAGUGCCACGCUCCUGGCCCUUCACAGCCUGGAGGCCAUCCUGCAGGUGGUUGCCAUCGCGGCCUUCACCAGCCACACUUCUCCCUUCAGGGGCUUCGGAGGAGAGGUCAGGGCUGAGGCCGGGGCUGGGACUGCAGGAGAGAGAGCAGCUGAGGGGCCCACAUUCUGAGCCUCCGUCCACUCCAGUUUUAUCAGCUUUUGCCUUUUGCACUGAGUGCUGAACAAAUUCUAGCUCUGUGUUUUUUUUUCCCAUUCCCAGAUUUACUAUAAGUUCUCCUUAAAAAGUAUCUAAGCUGUUAUAGUAGCUUUCCCUUCACUUGAUUCUAUUGUGUGUUUUCUAUGUUUGGAAUAAUUACACCCAAAUAUCUAGAUAUUUUCUCUUCACCGCAUUUUGUAAAUAAAGAGAUGUGUAUGCC
rnacentral:sRNA from 1 species